rnacentral:misc_RNA from 1 species
AAAAACUGUAUGGCUAUUUGUGAUGUGUCAAAUAGCAUGAAUGGAACACCAAUGGAGGCGUCCAUAGCAUUGGGCAUGUUAGUUUCUAAACUGAGCGAGAAACCAUGGAAGGGAAAGUUAAUUACUUUCAGUGAAAAACCUACCCUUCAAAUGGUCCGACGGGAUAGUCUUAUGGAGAAAACAGAGUUUGUGAGAAGAAUGGAGGGGGGUUACGAAGGCUGAUUUCCAAAAGGUGUUUGAUCUAAUCCUGCAAGUGGCUGC